GCCAGCCCGACGAUUUAGUCCCGCUAUGCAAAUAUUUUCGUUUUCAUUGACUGUAAAAACAAUCAAUUUCUAAAGAAAUGAAUAAUGAUAAUAAUUUUGAAUAUGCAUAGCGGGACUAAAUUGUCGGGCUGGC